GGGAAGAGAGAAAAAAAGAGGAGGAGAAAAUGGGUUUUCAGGCGCAUACCAGGGUGGUACCAUCACAACUUCAAUGUAAGGGAACGAUGGUGCCACGCUGCGUGGUUCUGAAAACGUUCGCUUUUUUCUCCUUAAUGAAUCUCCCCUUUCUUUAACUUUUACUUCUUUUCGAUUGCAAGUGCUUGCUUUAUGUUUUUCUCCAUGAUUGGGGGAUCAUUCUCGAGCAAUUUGCAGGAAUGAAAUUGGGGGAAAGCUGAAUCCAAACUCAGUCCAAGAGUGCCCCUCUAAGCUAUUUAUGAAGGGGAUUUGCUGAGAUGGGCGAGCAGUUUCGAAGCCCGAUCCAUGCUCGGCUUCGCCAAUCUGCAAGGUAUGGACUUUCGUUUGAGUCGAGUGUUUGUAGCAGCAGAUCACUCCUCACCGCGUACAAAAUUUUAAAGACAAGUCCUUUCGUUCUUUUAAAAGAAGAUAUGAGUUGGUGAUCGAAGAUAUCAAAUUGGAUCACGGCAGAAAACAUGCUGUUGGUUUGAUGUCCUGAAUGUUGUCUCGAAGUUAUCUAAUAAUGAAACUAAUCUUGCGUACGUUAUCGGGGGCAGCUGAAAACAUGCAUGGUUGUUACAAGCCACGGGAACGUAAGUAACGAUAAUCGUGUGACACGAUAUGAUACGGCCAGAGCCUUCGAGCAGUGGCACGAAAUGCUGAAAUGGAUUAAACCAAAUGAUAUUUCGGUCCCCCUUCUCAGAGAACUCGAAAGGGUAAUUUUGUUUCAUUGUCAUGUCAUGCAUUCUAACAUUGCUGGCAAGAACAGAAGUAGUUUCAUGAAGUUGUUAUCCUUUGAUCAGAUGAUUAAGCCACUUACAUAUCUCUUGAAA